GACGAACGCUGGCGGCGUGCUUAACACAUGGAAGUCGAACGGUGAAGGGGCCUGCUUUUGUGGGCCCUGGAUGAGUGGCGAACGGGUGAGUAACACGUGAGUAACCUGCCCCCUUCUUCUGGAUAACCGCAUGAAAGUGUGGCUAAUACGGGAUAUUCUGGGUCUGUCGCAUGAUGGGUCUGGGAAAGAUUGCGCCUUUGGGUGUUUUUGGUGGGGGAUGGGCUCGCGGCCUAUCAGCUUGUUGGUGGGGUGAUGGCCUACCAAGGCGGUGACGGGUAGCCGGCCUGAGAGGGUGGACGGUCACACUGGGACUGAGACACGGCCCAGACUCCUACGGGAGGCAGCAGUGGGGAAUAUUGCACAAUGGGCGCAAGCCUGAUGCAGCGACGCCGCGUGAGGGAUGGAGGCCUUCGGGUUGUAAACCUCUUUCGCCAGUGAAGCAGGCCUGCUCCUUGUGGGUGGGUUGACGGUAGCUGGAGAAGAAGCGCCGGCUAACUACGUG
rnacentral:rRNA from 1 species